AGCGAACGCUGGCGGCAGGCUUAACACAUGCAAGUCGAGCGCCCCGCCAGGGGAGCGGCAGACGGGAGAGUAACACGUGGGAACAUACCUUUUGGUUCGGAACAACUGAGGGAAACUUCAGCUAAUACCGGAUAAGCCCUUACGGGGAAAGAUUUAUCGCCGAAAGAUUGGCCCGCGUCUGAUUAGCUAGUUGGUGAGGUAACGGCUCACCAAGGCGACGAUCAGUAGCUGGUCCGAGAGGAUGAUCAGCCUCACUGGGACUGAGACACGGCCCAGACUCCUACGGGAGGCAGCAGUGGGGAAUAUUGGACAAUGGGGGCAACCCUGAUCCAGCCAUGCCGCGUGAGUGAUGAAGGCCUUAGGGUUGUAAAGCUCUUUUGCCCGGGAAGAUAAUGACGGUACCGGGAGAAUAAGCCCCGGCUAACUUCGUG
rnacentral:rRNA from 1 species